rnacentral:lncRNA from 1 species
UAAGUUUCUUAACAAUUCCAACAUAAAUAGAACAAAUACAACCCAUAAAAAUUCUUACGAGAAUACUUUUACCCAAAUAGUUCGUUGUUAUCAAUUCGUAUGCAUCAGCAGUAUUUCGCAGCUGAAGUUUCAAAGGUGUAAUGCAUGAAUUCCACGAGGUUGACGUUAUGAAAUUAUCAUGCGCCAAGUUGCUUGAAGCAGAACAAAACACACGGUUUCUUGUAACUCUAAGAAAGGUGGUAAACAAACUAGAGCCAGGAUCAAAUGGAAACUCUAAACCAAAUUGAUCAGGUGGAAAUUGAAGCAAAGGCAAGAAAAGUUCAGCAUGAGAAGGUGAUAAAACAACUAGAGCCAGGAUCAAAUGGAAACUCUAAACCAAAUUGAUCAGGUGGAAAUUGAAGCGAAGGCAAGAAAAGUUCAGCAUGAGCAAGGCCACUUAGGUGACUAAAUCUACCUCUGUUUAGAAGUUGGUUGGAACUGCAAGCUGAAUCCAUACAAGACAUCUCCACUAAACACUAGGCUAGUUCAAGUAAGGGUGUACUGUGGCCCGGUUCAGGCCCGGGAUCGGACCGGGACCGCGGUCCUAGCGGUCUGGUCUUUACCGGUCUAAAAAAUCCGUGACGGACCGAUCUUCCGCUUCGAACCGUCAGGCCCGGGACCGCCUGGCGGGCCUGGGCAGGUCUUGGAGGGCCCAAAGGCCAUUUUUUUUAAUUUUUUUUUUGAAAAAUCAGUAACGGCUCUUUGUAAAAAGUAGCCGUUUGGAACUUUGUAAAAUAGCCAUUUGGCCCCCAAACUUUAAUUUAACCUCAAACUUUAUAUAAUUACUCUUUUUCCCAUUUCUCAACUAUAAAUACCCCCCCCAUUCUUUCAUUUUUAUUCACCAGUUCAUCAAUAUCUCUCAAUCUCUCUCAAACUCUCUUUC